rnacentral:lncRNA from 1 species
UCAAAUGAGUACGGUCUUUUUCAUUUUCAUUUCUUCUAUUCAAAGUGACGUUACCUCUCCUUCUCUUAUGAUUUGCUUUUCUGGGAAGAUUCACCAUGUUCACCAGCUCCAAGCAGUCCAAAUGAAUGUGAAUCAUCCUCGCUCCUUGAUCUACUGCUAUUUUUAUGGAAUUUAGCACUCCUUUAGCUUUCGUCAUCAUGGGAUUUAGAUACUCAUUCAUACUUCAAGUUGCAUACCUGAUAGUUUCUCUGUUCAUCUCCCUGAACCUAGCUCCCAAGUUCCAAGCUCCUUAUAUCGCAAGAUUCACAUCCAUGUUUAUGAGGAUGCUCUUGUACUUCCAGGUUUGUUGAUUCUGAUUCUGGUUUACUUCGUUCUUCAUGCUAUUUGGUGUCUCUUUGUUCUAAUCUCUUUACAUGUCGCACUUCUGCUUUGUCCUAGUAAAGGUCUCCCUUUUGCAAGUGUUUUGACCUUUUUGCAUGUCUUUAUGAUGCUUUGCUCCUUAUCUAGAUGAUUUUGAGUGUCACAUGACUUAUCUUGCUUCUGCAUGUCUCUACCUUUUCUAUAAUCUCUAAUGGUGAUUAUUUUUAUUUUUUAUUUUCCUUUUGUGAGGUGUGCUCUACUCCAAUUUCUCCCUUUCUUCAAGGAUUCUCAGCUUUGUGAUUUAGGGUAGCCUUCGCUCCUCAAGUUUUACCAAUGUGCCAGGUAGUGUUAUUUUGAUUGGUGUUCUUUAAUUUCUCAGUCUCUUUUUUCUUCUUAGUGUUGGAAUAUUUGAGAAUAUUUUGACCUUCGGCAUUGAUCUCCAUGUGUUUUUUGUAUGACAUAAUUAAUCACAAAGUUCCUUAACUUUAUUUAAUAUUCCGCUUUAGUUUGUUAACUAAAAAAUGUUACAAGUUAGUCCUUUAACUUCAGUUUUGUUACCCUAUUUGGUCCCUUUCGUUAAUUUAUGACCAAAAAACGUUAAGUUCUAGUGACAUGGCGUGACAACAAAGUCAUUAGUACAAAUAUGAGUCAGCAUAUGUAGUUAAAAACUGAUACAUUGUUUAAACUACGGGGGUUUUGUUUUUUAGGGAACCUCGCAAUUUAAAUAGUGUAUCCAUUUUUAACUACAUAUGUUGACUCAAAUUUAUACCAAUAGCCUUGUUGUCAAGCCACAUCACCAGAACUUAACAUUUUUUUACCAGAAAUUGACAGAAAGGACCAAAUAGGGUAACAAAAGUGAAGUUAAGGGACUAACUUGUAACAUUUGUUAGUUAAGAGACUAAAGCGGGACAUUAAAUUACAUUAAGGGACUAAAACAUAUAUUAAGUUUUUUUGUUUUGUAUGGCUAAUUUUAUAUCCAGUCUAGACUGGUGCUUGUAGAGGAUUCCCACAUUGUAAAAAUUCUCUAGGCUUUUGGUAUGCUUCCUGGUCUCUUUUAUUUUUUCAUUAUUAUGGUUGUAUGCCUGGUACUUCAUUUGGUCAUAUCCAAUGUGGCUAUUUGCAUUUUGUUUUGAGCUCUUCAUUGGGUGGGCUAUCUACUUGAGCGUUUGUUAAUGCAUGGCAUACUCCUUGGAAUAAUGAUAAAUAACAUUGUUGCCUUUGUGGUAAGUAUCUUUGUGAUUAUAUUUUUCCUUUCUAAUAUCGGUGUCUUCAUAUCUUUUUCCUUGCAUCUUCUGCUUCCUAUGAUGUUGAUAAAUCAUGUGCUAGUUCUCAUUCUUAUUAAGUUGAUUAGCUUUUUUGUAAGAUUGGCAUUUAUCCUACCUAUCUGUGUUAAUUUGUUGGAUUUUUUUGUUAUCAUUUCUACCAGGUAAUUUUUGAUCCCCUUUAUUGAUGAUUUAUGGUUAUUGUGGGUAGAGUCUUAGCUAGACCCAUGGUUGUUCUGGUUUUGGUCACUUUGGCUUUUAAAGAUAGAUUCACCCCCUAGGUACUUUGCAUAUCUGAUAAUGCCAUCAAUGUAAAUCUGACAGUUUUGGAAUAUAGCUUUAUUUCCUGCCCUUCAGACUCUAUAGAAAAUGUUUAAAACAUUAUAGUGUGUUUAUCUUUAUAAUGAAUAGUAUGACAUGGCCAAGCUUCUAUCGGCUCAGUGUUGGUAUUAUCAAAUGUUAUAUUAAGGCUAGAGUCAAACCUCGUCUUUUUUUCCCACUCACAUUGCUUUAAGAUAUGGUCUAUGGUUUCCUCGUGGGCGAGGAAGAAGGGCCAGAAGAUAUGACAGUUUAUUCCUCUCUUAUAGAGUUGGAUUCUAACUGGAAUAACCUUGUUUAGUAUUCUCCAAGAUAAAGUUGUUAUCUUAGAUUGUCUUUUUAUGCCCUGAUCAGUCACCAUUUUCACUAUAUUUUCGUUGCUUAUCCGACAAGAAACCAAGAAUUUUGAGACACUGUGUACGCAUUAUGGUACAUUUAAAGUUAAUUUUCAUUCCCGUAAGUUAUUUAAGAAAUUUUAUUAAUUGUCAGUUUUAUUUUAUAUUUUUGUAAUUUUACGUGUAGGAUGUCUGUGUUUUUGUCCAACAGGUCCAGGUGGAAGAGUCGAGGAACUCAGAGCGAGAUAGUGCGGAAUUCCGAUAAGCAAAAGAAUGGAAAAAUCCCGGUACAUGAGGCCUGACACGGCCACCCGUGUCACCUGACACGGGCGGUGUCAGGCAGAAGGAGAAUGAAGCAAAAUACAGUAGCCUGACACGGCCCAUGUCAGGCCUUAUCCCAUACCGUGUCAAGCCCCCAUGGGCGUGUCAAGUGAAGCAGUGAGCUGACACGGGCCGUGUCAGCCCAAGCCCAAAAUUUUCCCUUUUCAUCGGGCUUUUGAUUAUCGGGCUUGCAGAGAGAUAUUUGGACAAGGCCAUCCAUUGCUUGGAAUUUUCACUAUAUGAGAGAACCUUCUACCAAAGAAAAGAUCAUCUUGGAAUGAGGCAAAACACAGUAUUGUCAAGCAAUCAAGGAUUGCAGAGAGCAAAAAGUUCGGAGAGCUGAAGGUUUUCAUGAGCGGGAGCGAUUGAAGAUCGAAGUCAUCCAAAUACUUGUAAUGUGUAAUUUUUAUCUUGCAUUUAUUUUGAACAAUAUGAGUAGCUAAACCCCCAUAUGCUAGGGGGUAUCCCUGAUUUAGAAUUGUAAUGAAUUUGAGUAUACUUUUGUAUUUAUAAUAUUAUUCUUACGAUAACCUUUU